GACGAACGCUGGCGGCGUGCUUAACACAUGCAAGUCGAACGAUGAAGAAAAGAAUUGAAGCUUCGGCAGAAAUUCAUUUCGGAUUAGUGGCAGACGGGUGAGUAACGCGUGAGCAACCUACCUCUUACAAAGGGAUAGCCUCGGGAAACCGGGAUUUAUACCAUCUCACAUUGCGACGAAGCAUUUCGAUGCAAUCAAAGCUACGGCGGUAAGAGAUGGGCUCGCGUCCCAUUAACCAGAUGGUGAGGUAACGGCGCACCAUAGUAACGAUGGGUAACCGGGAUGAGAGGGUGGACGGUCACACUGGAACUGAGACACGGUCCAGACUCCUACGGGAGGCAGCAGUGGGGGAUAUUGCAAAAUGGAGGGAACUCUGAUGCAGCGACGCCGCGUGAGUGAUGAAGGAAUUCGUUUCGUAAAACUCUGUUCUAUGGGAAGAAAAGGACUGUACCAUAGGAGAAAGCUCCGGCUAAAUACGUG
rnacentral:rRNA from 1 species